rnacentral:rRNA from 1 species
AACGGCGAGUGAAGCGGUAACAGCUCAAAUUUGAAAGCUAGCUCUUUUAGGGUUCGCAUUGUAAUUUGUAGAAGAUGCUUCGGGUGUGGCCCCGGUCUAAGUUCCUUGGAACAGGACGUCAUAGAGGGUGAGAAUCCCGUAUGUGACUGGGUGCUUUCGCUCAUGUGAAGCUCUUUCGACGAGUCGAGUUGUUUGGGAAUGCAGCUCAAAAUGGGUGGUAAAUUUCAUCUAAAGCUAAAUAUUGGCCAGAGACCGAUAGCGCACAAGUAGAGUGAUCGAAAGAUGAAAAGCACUUUGGAAAGAGAGUUAAACAGUACGUGAAAUUGUUGAAAGGGAAGCGCUUGCAACCAGACUUGCGCGCUGAUGAUCAUCCGGGCUUCUGCCCGGUGCACUCGUCUGCGCUCAGGCCAGCAUCGGUUUCGGUGGUGGGAUAAAGGCCUUGGGAAUGUAGCUUCUUUCGGGGAGUGUUAUAGCCCUCGGUGCAAUGCCGCCUACCGGGACCGAGGACCGCGCUUCGGCUAGGAUGCUGGCGUAAUGGUUGUAAGCGACCCGUCUUGAAACACGGACCAAGGAGUCUAACAUCUAUGCGAGUGUUUGGGUGUCAAACCCAUACGCGUAAUGAAAGUGAACGGAGGUGAGAACCCUUAAGGGUGCAUCAUCGACCGAUCCUGAUGUCUUCGGAUGGAUUUGAGUAAGAGCAUAGCUGUUGGGACCCGAAAGAUGGUGAACUAUGCGUGAAUAGGGUGAAGCCAGAGGAAACUCUGGUGGAGGCUCGCAGCGGUUCUGACGUGCAAAUCGAUCGUCAAAUUUGCGUAUAGGGGCGAA